rnacentral:snoRNA from 1 species
CGUCAAUGAUGAAUCCAUUAAGAAUUCUGCAAUUCCGACGAUCUCCAGACUUUGUGAGAUUGCAUGUUGACCCUUCUACACUUGAUCUGAUU